GACGAACGCUGGCGGCGUGCUUAACACAUGCAAGUCGAACGGUGAAGCGCCUUCCUUUUGGGGGGGGGGGGAGGAGUGGGGAAGGGGGGGUUAAAAGGGAGGUAACUUCCCCCCUCCUUCGGGAUACCGCAAGGAAAGGUGGGCUAAUACGGGUUUUUCGGGUUCUUUGGCUGGAGGGGUUUGGGAAGGAUAUUGUUUGGGUGGGGGAUGGGUUCGCGGCCUUUCAGCUUGUUGGUGGGGUGAUGGCCUACCAAGGCGGUGACGGGUAGCCGGCCUGAGAGGGUGGACGGUCACACUUGGACUGAGACACGGCCCAGACUCCUACGGGAGGCAGCAGGGGGGAAUAUUGCACAAUGGGCGCAAGCCUGAUGCAGCGACGCCGCGUGAGUGAUGGAGGCCUUCGGGUUGUGAACCUCUUUCGCCAGUGAAGCAGGCCUGCCUCGUGUGUGGGUGGGUUGACGGUAGCUGGAUAAGAAGCGCCGGCUAACUACGUG
rnacentral:rRNA from 1 species